GGAAGUAAAAGUCGUAACAAGGUUUCCGUAGGUGAACCUGCGGAAGGAUCAUUAUUGUAUAACCGAGGUGCGAGGGCUGUCGCUGACCCGACAGGUCGUGCACGCCCGAGUGCCCUCACACACAUCCAUCUCACCCCUAUGUGCACCACCGCGUGGGUCCCCCUUUGGCUUGUUCGGAGGGGGGCUUACGUUUUCACACAAACUUUGUAUGCAGUGUAGAAUGUAUUUUUUGUUUUUGCGAUCACGCAAUCAAUACAACUUUCAACAACGGAUCUCUUGGCUCUC
rnacentral:misc_RNA from 1 species